GAAAUGCGAUAAUUAAUGUGAAUUGCAGAAUUCAGUGAAUCAUCGAGUCUUUGAACGCACAUUGCGCCCCCUGGUAUUCCGGGGGGCAUGCCUGUCCGAGCGUCAUUGCUGCCCUCAAGCACGGCUUGUGUGUUGGGCUUCCGUCCCUGGCAACGGGGACGGGCCCAAAAGGCAGUGGCGGCACCAUGUCUGGUCCUCGAGCGUGUGGGGCUUUGUCACCCGCUCCCGUAGGUCCAGCUGGCAGCUAGCCUCGCAACCAAUCUUUUUAACCAGGUUGACCUCGGAUCAGGUAGGGAUACCCGCUGAACUUAAGC
rnacentral:misc_RNA from 1 species